AUUUAAAAAUAUUAAUAAAAAAGAAUUAUAAUACACAGCCUUUGUAUUCAGCAUCUGACUUCAAAUCUUAGCUUUGCAAAGAUGUGACCUCCUGAGUAAAGACCAUCAUCAGCAAAAUACCUACUUUCUCAUGAUUGCUAUGAUCUCAUGAGAAUACAAAUUUGGAAGAGCCUUGAAAAUCGUAAACUCAAACCCCACAAAAUUCCACAAAAACAAACCCCCAAAACCUCUAACCCUCUAUUCUGAUCUUUUGUGUUACAAGAGUCUAAGACUAUCUCUUCUCCCAUCACAAAGCCUCAUCUUCAGUUGCCUUCCAGCCUCCUUACUCUGACACUCCUUGAACACAAUCAUUAGUCUCUCAGUUUCAGAGCCAGACUCUGUGAAAUUUCUUCUGUUGAUCCCUCUACCUGGAGUUCUCUUAGCUUCUCUGCAAUCCCUUCCCAUCACCUAUGCUGCUGAAAUGUUAGCCGUUCUUCAAGGUCAAGUGAACAACAGGACAUAAUCCUAGAAUCUGGGCUCUGGUUCCAGUGUUGUGGGCAAGUUACUAGGUCUCUCUGGAUACUAAUUUCUUUGUUUGUGAGAUAAGGGUGUUGGAGAAGAGGAUCUCUAAAUUCAUGUUCUAAUUAGUCUAAUUCUGAAAUUAAACUAACUUUUUCAAUUUACUGCAUGUAACCCAAGUUAUCAAUUUUACCUUCUCCUUAACAGAUAAUGUGUACAUAAAUGGAAUUCAAAUACUACAUGCAGGUGGAUCAGCCCCCAAGGUUGAAAGCACCAUUCAUGAAUGUUAUUGAUUAUUGUAUUAUACUUAAGCUGUUUAUAAAUGCAAUCUAAAUAUAGGUAAUAGAAGAAUUUCUCUACAAUGGGAACAAAAAGGUUGUUGCUGCUCCAAAUGUAAUUUUCCCAACAAAAUGUAAUUGCUGUUUAUUUCAAACUGCCCAGUUCUAUAGAUUAUAGACCACUUCUAUUUUAUAAAUUUCCCCAUUCUAAGGCAAUCAUGUGCCCAGAAUAUGUAGAUUUUUGUAUGUCCUUUAAAAAUUCUAAUCAAUUGAUUAUGGUAGAUGAUUUCUAUUGUAAAACAAGGGCUAUGUGAAAAACUACUUCAAGUGGAAGGAAGUCAGCAUUUAUUGAACACCUUCUGGGGGGCUUUAGGCAUAUUUAUGUAUUAUUUCAUUUAAUUCCAUAAAUAGUCUGCAGAUGUAAGUAAUAAUAUUCAUAUUUUAUAGAGGAGGAAGUGAAGCCUGGAGAGGUUAAAGUGACUCGUUCAAAAUUAUAUACCAAAAGUUCUGGAAAUGGAUAGUGGUGAUGGUUGCACAAUAAUGUGAAUGUACUUAAUGCCACUGAAUUGUACACUUAAAAGUGGUUAAAAUGGUAAAUUUUGUGUUAUGUUUCACCACAAGAAAGAAAAGGAAAUCACAUAGCUAGUAAAUAGCUUAACUAGAUUUAGAUUCCAAGUCAGUAGGCUUUGAUUGGUCUGUUUAUGACAUGGGAGAAAUUCAGCACGCUGAUUGGGUGGUUAUGUUCAUCAAAGAUCUGCCAGGAGACUGAGGAGCCUGAAGCAAAAAAAGCAGAGAGAAGAGCUAAGUGAGGUUUUAAGUGUCAGCAACCAGCUUAAGAUGGCAACCCCAAUUCUGUCUGAUAGCAAGCUGAGAACCAGUGACCAAGGCAAAAAAGAGAUCAUCAAUCAGGUUUGCCAUUUAGAUUAGUGUUUCUGCAAUGUUAGUAUGCAUAUAAAUCACCUGGAUAUCUCAUUAAAAUGCAGAUUUUGAUUUAGUAAAUCUGUGAUGGGGUGAAUUUUGCAUUCCUAACAAGCUCCCAGGUGAUGGUGAUAUUGUUGGCCAUGGACUAACUGAUGUAUAGCAAGAAUUUAGAUCACUCUAACCUCCUCCAAGGCAGUUGUCUAAAUGUGGCUUUCAGAUCACUUGCACCAGAGAAUCUGGGGUGCUUUCACAGAGCAAAUUCCGGGCCCCAUCCUGGACCUACUGAAUCGGGAUCUCUGAGGUGGGAUUGGAAUGUACACUUGUAACAAGCUGCCCAUUUGCUUGUUACGUAUAUGAUGUUUGAGAACCACUGCUAAUAGGACAUCAACAUGUCAUCAUAAUUAUAAACCCCUUCACUUGCGUACCCAUUUCCAGUUUAUAAAUCCUUUUCACAUCCUGUUUUUCCUGUACCUGUACAGCAGGCUGAUGAAGCUGAUACCAUUAGCCCUGCUCUGCAAAUGAGGAGAAUGACAUCUCUAGUCUUAAGUGCUAGACUCAAAGGGUUUCUGACUCCCAGGAAAGCAUUCUUAUUAUUUUGUGGCUUGCUUUACCACUUUACCAUAUCUUUACUUAUACUCCUACACAAAUUAGAAGUUCUUUUAUGUCUAAAAAGUUUUGCAGAGCAAUUUUCUUGCUAUGAUGCUUUUAAAGAUUUCAAUCUAAUUUAGCACAUCAAGCAGCACAGUUUAUGCUUAUAAGCAUAAAGUUAUCCAAGGUCAUGGCAAAGAAAAGUUUGGUGAAGUAAUUAAGAAAUAGUUUGCACUGAGGUUUUUUUUUUUAAAUAUUUUUAAAACCCUUUACCUACAUUUAUCAAUUGUUAAUAGUUCGUUUUCCUCUCUUUUAACCAUUUGAAAGGAAGUUACAGACAUCAUGACACUUCAUCCCUAAAUAUUUCAGCAUGUAUCUACCAAAAAUAAGAAAAUUCUCUUAGAUUACUAUAAUCCCAUCAUCACACCUAAGACAAUUAACAUUAAUUCAGUAUCGUCUAAUAGUCUAUGCUCAAAUUUCUGCAGUUAUCUUAAUAUCUUUUAUUGCUGUUUAUUUUUUCGGAUCCGAUUAAGGUUUACUGCAUUUGGUUGUUUUGUCUGUUUAGUCUAAAUAAUCUAGAACGAACCUCUCUCCUUAUCUUUUGUUUUUCAUGACAUUAAAUUUAUUUUCAAGUCCAGGACUUGUAAAGUACCCUCACAUUCUGAAUUUAUUUGGGUACUUCCUCGUGAUUAGAUUCAGGUUCAACCUUGUCAGCAAGGGUAUCAUGCAGAUAUAUGUCACGAACCUCUGAUUGCAUCAUUUUAGGAGGCACAUAAUGGCAAAUUGUCCCUAAAUUUGAUCACCUGGUGGAGUCGGUAGCAGUCAGAUCUCUCCAUUAUAAAGUUACUUUCUUUCUUUUUCUUUUUUUUUUUUAAAUAACCUGUUUUAAUUAUAUUUCAUUCAUUUCAAACACAAGGUUAUGGAUUUGAAACACCCCCUGUUCUUUGUUGUUGUUGUUGUUGUUUUGAGACGGAGUCCCACUUUGUCGCCCAGGCUGGAGUGCAGUGGCGCGAUCUCGGCUCACUGCAACCUCUGCCUCCUGGGUUCAAGCGAUUCUCCUGCCUCAGCCUCCCGAGUAGCUGGGAUUACAGGCCUGCGCCACCAUGCCCGGCUAAUUUUUGUAUUUUUAGUAGAGACAGGGUUUCACCAUGUCAGCCAGGCUGAUCUCAAACUCCUGACCUCAAGUAAUCUGCCUGCCUCGGCCUCCCAAAGUGCUGGGAUUACAGGCGUGAGCCACUGCUCCUGGCCAAAGUUACUUUCACUCAUAGCUAAUAAGUUGUCUGUAGGGUGAUGCUUUAAGACCAUGAAUAUUGUCUCCUUGUAACCUUUCACCCAACGGUUUUGGCAUACAUUGAUGAUCCUUAUCUGAUUCCAUUAUCUUGUUGAAGAUUGCAAAGUGGUGAUUAACUCAGUCUUGACCAUUUGUCAGCAUUCAUAUGGAAAGAAGGUAUGUUGGGUUUGAGAAAAUCUGAAUUUAGGUUACCUCAAGUCAUGCUGGCUACU
rnacentral:lncRNA from 1 species